GGCCAAACGAGAGGACCGUAAAUUGGUAGUGUCAAUGAUGCACCGUAAACCAUAGGUACCGUCUGUGCAGGGGAUAAAUAGUGAUAUGGAAAUAUGCGUCCUUCAUGUCGAGAGCAGUGUACCAGUCUCCGGGAUCCA